ACUCUGAGUGCUAAUUACAGUACUUCAAGCCUGGUUUUGUGGGACAACAUGAGACCUGAAAGCCUGGGAAAGUCCUCUAAUAAGGAAUGCAGGAGUAGGGAAACCUGAGAAGAGGGAGAGAGCGGAAGAGUUGGCUCUGGUUUACGUCAUUGCAAGAGGAAAUGCAAAUCACUAGAUGACCUACUCUACACAAUAAAGAUGGCAGAAACACAAUCAGUGGUUGUAAAAGAAAGACCCAAUGCCUUGAGCAACCCCACUAAACUGCUGCCAGGACCAUUGCUUUUGACCAUUCCAUUGGUGCUUUGACUGGACCACUUCCACCAUUUGAACGUUGGAAAAAUCUUGGAUGAUAUUGAAAAUAAAAACAUUCACACAUCACUAUCCACGUUUUUCAUAACUCAGAUUCAUACUGGCAUCGGGUGAAACAAAAAUAAAACUAUUAGUUAAAAGAAAAGUUAGCAAGUGUUUCAACACUUUUGAAAAAUAUUGUGAGUAUAUUCUCCUCAACAUUUCAUUAUUUAAUUCUAUAGAUAUCUUUUUCAUUUUCUGAAUUACAUUAAAACCAAGAAACUAGCAUUCACUUCAACAAUUCUGGAUAAUGUGAUAAAAAUAAUUUUAGAUAUAAUAAAAUUACAUAGGUCAGUUACCACUACAAUUCAUUUCUAUAACAUUUCAAUAUAAAUCUUAGCCAAAAAUUUUAUU
ensembl:lncRNA